rnacentral:rRNA from 1 species
AGGGGCAGCAUAAAGGUAGCAAUACUUUGGUGGCGACCGGCGCACGGGUGAGUAACACGUAUGCAACCUACCUGUAAGAGGGGAAUAACCCGGAGAAAUUCGGACUAAUACCGCAUAAUACCACGAAGCUGCAUGGCUUUGUGUUUAAACAUUUAUGGCUUACAGAUGGGCAUGCGUAUGAUUAGAUAGUUGGUAGGGUAACGGCCUACCAAGUCAACGAUCAUUAGGGGUUCUGAGAGGAAGGUCCCCCACACUGGUACUGAGACACGGACCAGACUCCUACGGGAGGCAGCAGUGAGGAAUAUUGGUCAAUGGGCGAGAGCCUGAACCAGCCAAGUCGCGUGAAGGAAGAAGGUUCUAUGGAUUGUAAACUUCUUUUGUAAGGGAAUAAAAAGAGUUACGUGUAACUUAUUGUAUGUACUUUACGAAUAAGGAUCGGCUAACUCCGUGCCAGCAGCCGCGGUAAUACGGAGGAUCCAAGCGUUAUCCGGAUUUAUUGGGUUUAAAGGGUGCGUAGGCGGGCCCUUAAGUCAGUGGUGAAAGUUUGCAGCUUAACUGUAAAAUUGCCAUUGAAACUGAGGGUCUUGAGUGUAAAUAAGGUAGGCGGAAUGUGUUGUGUAGCGGUGAAAUGCUUAGAUAUAACACAGAACAC